rnacentral:rRNA from 1 species
CGCAUCUGUGCAUGCAGCAUAUCAAUAAGCGGAGGAAAAGAAACUAACAAGGAUUCCCUCAGUAACGGCGAGUGAAGCGGGAAGAGCUCAAAUUUGAAAUCUUGAAAGGUCACCUCUCACGAAUUGUAGUUUAAAGAAGUGUUUUCUGUUACGAUCGUAAUAUAAGUUCUUUGGAAUAGGACAUCACAGAGGGUGAGAAUCCCGUCUAUGAUUGCGAUUUGUAGCUUUGUGAUACACUUUCAAAGAGUCGGGUUGUUUGGGAAUGCAGCCCAAAACGGGAGGUAAAUUUCUUCUAAGGCUAAAUAUUGGCGAGAGACCGAUAGCGAACAAGGUACCGUGAGGGAAAGAUGAAAAGAACUUUGAAAAGAGAGUUAAAUAGUACGUGAAAUUGUCAAAAGGGAAGCGUUUAACACCAGUGUUGUUUUCUGAAAAUCAACCUCUGUUAGCUUUAUGCAUGUUUGUUUAGACCUAAUCAGCUAUCUUGCAUGUUCUAUUGUUUGCAGUGGUGCACUUUUCAGUUUACAGGUCAACAUCAGUUUUUUUUACCGUAAAAAAGUUAAAGAAAGGUAGCUCAUGGCUCCGGCCGUGAGUGUUAUAGUCUUUUUCCUAUGCGGUAGGAGAGACUGAGGUCUGCAGUGUAGGCUAUUUGGCUAGAUACUCAGGUGCUAUGUGAUACCAUUUCAUAAACAACUUGUUGAUUAUGUUUUGUCUAUUGCAUACUCGCUUGUACUAUCAUACCUACGCUUAGGAUGUUGAAGUCAUCGUAUCGCGC